rnacentral:rRNA from 1 species
AGAGAGAGACAUGCGCGCAUAUCAAUAAGCGGAGGAAAAGAAACUAACAAGGAUUCCCUUAGUAACGGCGAGUGAAGCGGGAAGAGCUCAAAUUUGAAAUCUUCAAGGUUUUACCUUGACGAAUUGUAGUUUAAAGAAGUGUUUUCUGCUGAAGUUUUGGUAAAAGUUCUUUGGAAUAGGACAUCAUAGAGGGUGAGAAUCCCGUAUUUGACCAUUAUUUUCAGCUUUGUGAUACACUUUCAAAGAGUCGGAUUGUUUGGGAAUGCAGUCCAAAAUGGGUGGUAAAUUUCAUCUAAAGCUAAAUAUUGGCGAGAGACCGAUAGCGAACAAGUACCGUGAGGGAAAGAUGAAAAGAACUUUGAAAAGAGAGUUAAACAGUACGUGAAAUUGUCAAAAGGGAAGCGUUUGACACCAGUGUUGUUUUCUCGAAAAUCAAUUAAAAAUGGCUCGAUUUUGUAUUGCUGAGACCUUAAAAGCUCACUGUACAUUUUUCGUGUCUUUUUUAAUGCACUUUUCGUUUAGCAAGUCAACAUCAGUUUCUUUUGUUGUAAAAGGGUCAUUGGAAGGUGGCUUUCUUUUCGGAGAAAGUGUUUAUAGCCUUUGGCCUCUGCAAUCGGGAGAGACUGAGGUCUGCAGCGUAGACUCUUCGGGGUUAGAUACAUUUGUGCUAAGUUAUAGCCUUUUCAUAGACAACUUGUUGACUAUAAUCAGUCAUGUAGCUUACUCGCUUAUGCUACUUUACCUACGCUUAGGAUGUUGAAGAUGUAGCACAUCAU